rnacentral:rRNA from 1 species
AUUGAACGCUGGCGGCGUGCUUAACACAUGCAAGUCGAACGAUGAACCGGGUGCUUGCGCUCGGGGAUUAGUGGCGAACGGGUGAGUAACACGUGAGCAACCUGCCCCUGACUCUGGGAUAAGCGCUGGAAACGGCGUCUAAUACUGGAUAUGUCCCGUCACCGCAUGGUGUGCGGGUGGAAAGAUUUUUCGGUUGGGGAUGGGCUCGCGGCCUAUCAGCUUGUUGGUGAGGUAAUGGCUCACCAAGGCGUCGACGGGUAGCCGGCCUGAGAGGGUGACCGGCCACACUGGGACUGAGGCACGGCCCAGACUCCUACGGGAGGCAGCAGUGGGGAAUAUUGCACAAUGGGCGGAAGCCUGAUGCAGCAACGCCGCGUGAGGGAUGACGGCCUUCGGGUUGUAAACCUCUUUUAGCAGGGAAGAAGCGAGAGUGACGGUACCUGCAGAAAAAGCACCGGCUAACUACGUGCCAGCAGCCGCAGUAA